rnacentral:rRNA from 1 species
UACGUAGGGCGCAAGCGUUGUCCGGAAUUAUUGGGCGUAAAGAGCUCGUAGGCGGCUCGUUGCGUCGGCUGUGAAACCCCCUCGGCUCACCCGAGGAUCUGCAUCCCAAACUGCUUGGCUUGAGUAUGGGAGAGGAUGAGGGAAUUCCUGGUGUAGCGGUGAAAUGCGUAGAUAUCAGGAGGAACACCGGUGGCGAAGGCGGCCUUCUGGACAGUGACUGACGCUGAGACGCGAAAGCGUGGGGAGCAAACAGG